UUAAAUUGGUAAAGGAUAGUAUUUAAAUAAAGGAAGCAUUCGGUUCGAAACUUUUUGUUAGGUUCAUGACAUGAACUUGAAAUUAAAUGAGAGAAAAUUAAUAAUAAUAGAGUCCUGGUAUGCCUCGAGUUCAGAACCUUCUAACUAAGUAUAAAAAUAUUUAAACAUUGUUUUUUAUAAGCUUAAGCUUUUAAAAUAUAAUGAUCGUCUCAUAGAAUAUCAGAGUAGGAGGUAGGUCUAAGUUUGAGUCACGCUAGGCUCCUAACAUUAUUAUUAUUUUUUAUUUAAUUCAAGUCUGCAUUAUGAGCCUACAAAAAGACUCGAGUUUAGACGUAAGGGAGAGUGUUAAAUAUAAAAAUAUUUAGUUAUUGUUCUUAUAAACUUAAACUUUUAGGUAUCGUUUGGUUCGGGGAUAAGGAAAAAGUGGCUAUUCCAGGGAUAGGUAUAAAUUGAGGUAUAAGCGAGGAUUAGAUCAAUUUUGCGUUUGGAUGAAAAUUGAGUUAUUCCUGGAAUAAAAAAAAUAGUGUUUGGUUAGGUAAGAUGGAAUAAGAAAGAUAAUGGGUUUUGUAAAUAAAAAAUAAUGAUAUUAUCAAUUUAUUAUAUUUGAAUUUGAAUUUUUAAAUUUUUAAAUUUAUAUUUCUAAAUUUAAAAUUUUAACUUUGAAAUUUAAAAUCUCAAAUUUUAAAUUCAAAAUUUUAAAUUUUAAAUUUC
rnacentral:lncRNA from 1 species